GGCAAGAUGGCCGAGCGGUCUAAGGCGCCAGCUUCAGGUGCUGGUGUGGAAACACGCGCGAGUUCGAAUCUCGUUCUUGUCA
rfam:Colletotrichum chlorophyti strain NTL11 CCHL11_scaffold88, whole genome shotgun sequence.